UUCUACAAACCUUCUUUUUCAGACUGAAAGAAAUCCAAGAAAAGUCUUAAUAAGCAAUUUUUUUUUUUUUUCAGGAACAACUUAAUUUAAGGAAUGAGCAUUUUGCCACAAACGUGACAAAGAGACGUCAGAAUUUUUUGGAAGUGGCCAUAAUUCACCUGCCUGAUUCCCAUCUCCUUUUUAUCCCUAGGGAGAUCCCAGCAUGGCCAGCUCAGCACCCACAGCUGUGCUACACAAGUGCAAAGCAGGGUGAAAUAAUGUGGAAGGAGAAACCUGGCAAUCCAGGAAUGCUGGCUGGAGGGAAGGGAAAGGAGAGGAAGCUGCUCACACGCAGCUUGAAACACCCUCAUUCCAAAUGCGCAGGGCUCUGGUGCACAACUUCCUGCAGGAAACAGUGGUAGCAGAGCACAGGAAACCCCAGCACUACAAGAACUUAACUCCCUGCGAGGCCUGGCACACAGAGCACCACAAAGUUCCCCGUGCCAUUAAAAGAGCAUCUCCAGCUUGCAGAUUCCCCUCACCAACCUCUUUGUGGAUUUGGGCAGAGCAGGAUUUAUUCACCCUAAACUCGGCUUAAAUCCUGCCCCCCAGAAAAACCCAUCUGGGAACCAAACUCUUACAGGUUGGGAUGAAGCAGGAAUAGCUGCCACUGUCACCCUGUCACAGCCACAGGAUCAUGGCACAGCCUGCAGCACUUCGAAGCAAAUCCAGCCAUUUGAAGUCCAAACUUUUCUUUAGAGAUGUCCUUUGGUCUUUAUUAACCACCAGGGAGAUGGAAUUACAUGCAAAAUUCAACUGAGAGGCAAAAGGAAAAAGGAGGGGGAAAAAAGAAAAGUGUUUCUUUACUCAGUUUGGGAUUUUUGGGAGGGUUUUUUCAUCUGCUGUCGAAGAAGUGAAUGGCAACUUUUCAGAUGCACUGGAAAGCAGAGUCUUUGUCCUUUGCACUUCACUGCUCACCAUCUGGUGUGCUCAGUGGCAUCAUGCUGAAAUCAGAAUUUUUUGUUAAAGAGAGAACAACGUUAUUAUUUAAUUAAUAUUCCAGUAAAUUUUGGAUACUGGAACUUGGAGUUUUGAAACCACUGUAGCUCCAGUUUACCACAGAUGUAAAAAUGGCCUUGCUCCCUUCUAACCAUCCUUAACCACCUUAAGCAGCUCCUACUUCAGUGCUCAGAAACAUCUGUCCCUAAAAGCCUUCUGUGGUAAAUGUAUAAUUAAAAAAAAUCUGAUAUU